UUGCACUGUGUGUUUUGUACGAGGAAACCGUUGUGUUUUGUUUUCUCGUUGAAGUGUCAGUGCGCACAGAGAAAGCUCAAUUUGGGCAGCGGCCAGACAACCGUAGGGAUGGUUUUCCACAGAUUAUGACCUUUUCUUUCCUCAUUCUCUACUGAUUCCAUCCCACAUUU
rfam:Cajanus cajan Scaffold132447_5, whole genome shotgun sequence.